rnacentral:rRNA from 1 species
GACAGAGGAUGCAAGCGUUAUCCGGAAUGAUUGGGCGUAAAGCGUCUGUAGGUGGCUUUUUAAGUCUGCCGUCAAAUCCCAGGGCUUAACUCUGGACAGGCGGUGGAAACUACCAAGCUGGAGUACGGUAGGGGCAGGGGGAAUUUCCGGUGGAGCGGUGAAAUGCGUAGAGAUCGGAAAGAACACCAACGGCGAAAGCACUCUGCUGGGCCGACACUGACACUGAGAGACGAAAGCUAGGGGAGCGAAUGGG